CUUUAAGAGAGUUUGAUCCUGGCUCAGGAUGAACGCUGGCGGCGUGGAUAAGGCAUGCAAGUCAAACGGGCUCUGUAGCAAUACAUAGUACAGUGGCGAACGAGUUAGUAACACCUUGGUACGUACUCCGAAGUCGGGCAUAACGAGUCGAAAGAUUCGCUAAUUCCCGAUAGUUCUCGUAAGAGUAAAGAUGCAAAUCGCUUCGGAAGCGGCCUAGGUCCUAUCAGCUUGUUGGCGGGGUAACGGCCCACCAAGGCUACGACGGGUAGGGGGUGUGAGAGCACGAUCCCCAACGACGGUACUGAGAUAAAAUUUUGUCUCCUUCAGCGGUAACGUUGAAGUAAAAUCUAGCUUAUAACGGCGGAAUCUUUUUAGGGUAUGACGUUCAUAACUUAAACAAAUGGUUGUGAUGUAAUACCCACUAUGAAGACAACGCCGUGGGAAGUUAAUAGUAAGAAUGUAUCAGAUCAAUAUAUUGCCGGCUUUCUUGAUGGGGAUGGGUCUAUUAUAGCUGCUAUAGAAAAGCGGCCAGACAGACGCAGAUUUCCAUAUCGUGUGAGAUUAAAGAUAAAUUUCACACAGCAUGUUAGACACAAAAACAUGCUUAUUCUUAUUCAAGAAACUUUAGGUAAAGUUGGUUCAGUUAGAUAUAUUCCAACCCAUAACUUAUCAGAACUUGUAAUUCAAAAAAGAGAGGAUGUAAAAGGCAUACUUGAACGUCUUUUGCCCUAUCUUAUUUUGAAACAGAGACAAGCACGAAUUAUGCUAUCGAUGAUUGAUAUAUUCAAUCAAGGCAUAGUAAAUGUGCGUAGUUCUCUGUCUGACAAAGAUUUUGAAAAACUCUUUGCAAUGGCAAACGAGCUAAGAAAUCUUAACUCGGGAGCAGGUGGUAAGAAAAGUUAUGAAAUUAUUAACCCCGUAACGACUCAAUCUUAAGCAGAUUGGAUGAUAGAUGAUGACGCAUUUUGCCGAUGGUCUAUCAUAAUAUGCUAGCCCCCGAUCUGAAUCGGGGUGAAGACAUANNNNNNNNNNNNNNNNNNNNNNCUACGGGUGGCAGCAGUCAAGAACAUUCGACAAUGGGCGAAAGCCUGAUCGAGCGACGCCGCGUGCAGGAAGAAGGGCUUCGGCCUGUAAACUGCUUUUGCCGCCGAAAAAUUUUGAUGGUAGGCGGAGAAUAAGGGGUUCCUAACUAUGUGCCAGCAGGAGCGGUAAUACAUAGACCCCGAGCGUUAUCCGGAAUUACUGGGCGUAAAGCGCGAGCAGCCGGCUGUAUUAGUCCGAUGUUAAAUCUCACUGCUUAACGGUGAGGCCGCAUUGGAAACGGUACGGCUAGAGUGGCUGAGAGGCACACGGAACGUGCGGUGUAGGGGUGAAAUCCAUUGAUAUUGCACGGAACACCAAAAGCGAAGGCAGUGUGCUAGCGGUCUGCUGACGGUCAAUCGCGAAAGCGUGGGGAUCAAAAAGGAUUAGAUACCCUUGUAGUCCACGCCUUAAACUAUGCUGACUAGCUAUCGGGAGCAUCGACCCUUCCGGUGGCGAAGCUAACGCGUUAAGUCAGUCGCCUGGGAAGUACGAGCGCAAGCUUAAAACUCAAAGGAAUAGGCGGGAAUUCGCACAAGCAGUGGAUCAUGUGGUUCAAUUCGACACUGAACGAGGAACCUCACCAGGGCUUGAAAUCCAGAUGCAAGCCGUAGAAAUACGGUCGCCUUCGAGGGUUCUGGACAGGUGCUGCACGGCUAUCGUCAGCUCGUCAUGUGAAUGGUAUCCUUAAGUGGAUUAACGAGCGCAACCCCCGCUGUCUGUUAUAUUUGUCAGGCAGGACUGCUUCGGUAACGGAGAGGAAGGUGGGGAUGACGUUAAGUCAGCGUGGCCCUCUGAUGCCCUGGGCUACACACAUGAU
rnacentral:ncRNA from 1 species